rnacentral:rRNA from 1 species
AUUGAACGCUGGCGGCAGGCUUAACACAUGCAAGUCGAGCGAGCGGCGGACGGGUGAGUAAUGUCUGGGAAACUGCCUGAUGGAGGGGGAUAACUACUGGAAACGGUAGCUAAUACCGCAUACCAUCAGAUGUGCCCAGAUGGGAUUAGCUAGUGGGUGGGGUAAUGGCUCACCUAGGCGACGAUCCCUAGCUGGUCUGAGAGGAUGACCAGCGACCCUGGAACUGAGCCACGGUCCAGACGCCUAAGGUAGGGAGCAGUGGGGAAUGUUGCACAAUGGGCGCAAGCCUGAUGCAGCCAGGCCGCGUGUUUGAAGAAGGCCUUCGGGUUGUAAAGCACGUUCAGCGAGGAGGCGUUACUCGCAGAAGAAGCACCGGCUAACUCCGUGCCAGCAGCCGCGGUAAUAC